CUAGGAAUCUCUAGAUCCCCCAGUGUGAUUCUAUGGUCAAUUUUUCUAUAGUCAUGCUGGAGGACCUCGAGAUUUCUAG
rfam:Anolis carolinensis chromosome 1, whole genome shotgun sequence.